AUGGUGGCGUAUCUGGCACAGGUGGCGCGGGCGCGAGUCCCCGCGAUGCCCCGGCUUCUAACUCCGCCGCAGGGCUCUGCCCGCCGCCCCUCCGCCUGGGAAGGGGCGAGCAGAUGGCCGCCGAGCCGGCCCCCUCCCCUGGCCAGAGGGCACAGGCGACUCACGUGGACCGCGCGGACCUGUCCCCGGGUGGGGGUCGCCCGGCUGUCCCCGAAGCCCGGGCUAGCCACCCCCCACCCCGGGCCUCGGAUCCUUGCUCUGUCUGUAGCUCCGCACUGCGCUGGCCGGCCGGGACCCGCGCGGCUCUGCGCUCGGGUCUGGUCCGCCCACGCCCACCUUGCCCAUCCGCACCCCGACACGCACAGUCGCUCACACACGAUACACACUCCGCGCACCGGUCCCCACCAGCAACUGCGCCCCGACACGAUUCCACAAACGCAGCCCCCAAAUGUGCCGAUUCCAGCUGCACACACGGAUGCCCCACGAGGACACGCCAUUCCAGGGACACACCGCCGUACUCAGUCAACCACAACUCCACAGCGCAGAGAAACACAAUCACCGCCGGCACACGCGCACACAAGCACACACACGCACACACACACACGCAGAGAGCCCGACCGCAGCACACGCCCCGCACUACCCGCAGCCCAACCCCUUUCCUACCUGCUCCGUCGCAGGACGCGAUCUGUCGAGCUCCCCGAGCCCAAGUUCCGCGCCGCCGGCACUGGGGGCGGGCACGGGCCGCUGCGAGGGACUGGCGCGCCGAGGCCAGGGAAGGGGUGCCUAGGAGCGCGGGCCUCCGUGCGCCCGCAGCCGCCGCGCUGGCCCUGCGCUCAUCGCCUCGCAGAAAGACAAAAGAAAGCCGGCAGAGAGGGAGGGAGCGAGGUGGAGGCGCCCGCGCGUCCGCAGAGCCGCCAGUCCGCCGCCUGCAGUCGCCGCGGCCCGCCCGCCAGCCCCGGGAAGGAAGGGGACGCGAAGGCGGGGCCCGGAGGCGGGGGCCGGAGGCGGGGCGCGAGCUCAAGUUUCCUGCAGACCCGCCCCCGCUCGGCCACGCCCCUCCAUUUAACCCCGCCCACCAACCCACGUUGGUCCCACCCCAGCUGUAACCGCCCCCCGCUUCUGACCCUGCCGCGCCCCGCCCCCGCCCUCUCCACGCCGACCCCUUGCUGCCCCGCGUGGAUCUCCAGGUAG
rnacentral:lncRNA from 1 species